CACAGGGAGGUAGUGACAAUAAAUAACAAUACAGGGCUCUCAGAGUCUUGUAAUUGGAAUGAGUACAAUUUAAAUCACUUAACGAGGAACAAUUGGAGGGCAAGUCUGGUGCCAGCAGCCGCGGUAAUUCCAGCUCCAAUAGCGUAUAUUAAAGUUGUUGCAGUUAAAAAGCUCGUAGUUGAAUUUCGGGCUCGCCGGCGUGGUCCUCCUCACGGACGGCACUACGUCGACGGGUCCCACCUUCUGGGGCUCCAGGCUGCACUUAACCGUGUGGUCUGGCGCGCCAGAUACUUUACUUUGAAAAAAUUAGAGUGUUCAAGGCAGGCUUUCGCUUGAAUACAUUAGCAUGGAAUAAUAGAAUAGGACUUUGGUUCUAUUUUGUUGGUUUAAAGGACCAAAGUAAUGAUUAAUAGGGACAGUUGGGGGCAUUAGUAUUUCAGGGCUAGAGG
rnacentral:rRNA from 1 species